GACGAACGCUGGCGGCGUGCUUAACACAUGCAAGUCGAACGGAAAGGCCCUGCUUGUGUGGGGUGCUCGAGUGGCGAACGGGUGAGUAACACGUGAGUAACCUGCCCUUGACUUUGGGAUAACUUCAGGAAACUGGGGCUAAUACCGUAUAGGAGCUCCUGCUGCAUGGUGGGGGUUGGAAAGUUUCGGCGGUUGGGGAUGGACGCGCGGCUUAUCAGCUUGUUGGUGGGGUAGUGGCUUGCCAAGGCUUUGACGGGUAGCCGGCCUGAGAGGGUGACCGGCGACAAUGGGACUGAGAUACGGCCCAGACUCCUACGGGAGGCAGCAGUGGGGAAUAUUGCACAAUGGGCGGAAGCCUGAUGCAGAAACGCCGCGUGCGGGAUGACGGCCUUCGGGUUGUAAACCGCUUUCGCCUGUGACGAAGCGUGAGUGACGGUAAUGGGUAAAGAAGCACCGGCUAACUACGUG
rnacentral:rRNA from 1 species